UACGUAGGUGGCAAGCGUUGUCCGGAUUUACUGGGCGUAAAGAGCGCGCAGGCGGCCCAGUAAGUCGAAUGUGAAAGCCCCCGGCUUAACUGGGGAGGGUCAUUCGAUACUGCUCGGCUCGAAGACAGGAGAGGGAAGUGGAAUUCCUGGUGUAGCGGUGGAAUGCGCAGAUAUCAGGAGGAACACCGGUGGCGGAGGCGGUUCUCUGGGCCGAUACUGACGCUGAGGAGCGAAAGCGUGGGGAGCGAACAGG
rnacentral:rRNA from 1 species